CUACGGGAGGCAGCAGUGAGGAAUAUUGGGCAAUGGGGGAAACCCUGAUCCAGCCAUGCCGCGUGGAUGAUGAAGGCCCUAGGGUUGUAAAGUCCUUUUAACGGGGAAGAUAAUGACGGUACCCGUAGAAUAAGCCCCGGCUAACUUCGUGCCAGCAGCCGCGGUAAUACGAAGGGGGCUAGCGUUGCUCGGAAUUACUGGGCGUAAAGCGCACGUAGGCGGACCGAUAAGUCGGGGGUGAAAUCCUGGAGCUCAACUCCAGAACUGCCUUCGAAACUGCCGGUCUUGAGUUCGGGAGAGGUGAGUGGAACUGCGAGUGUAGAGGUGAAAUUCGUAGAUAUUCGCAAGAACACCAGUGGCGAAGGCGGCUCACUGGCCCGAUACUGACGCUGAGGCGCGAAAGCGUGGGGAGCAAACAGGAUUAGAAACCCGAGUAGUCC
rnacentral:rRNA from 1 species